GCAGGACUCACCAUUCGUUUCUUGGCAACCAACUGAACUUCUACAAGCUACGUCGAUAGUGACAAGAGUGGGCCUUUUGCCACCUUUGACACUGGAAACACCAUCAACAUUGUCUUCUUUGUCGUCAUCAUCAUUAUCACGAUCUGCUAAUGAGAGUUCUAAGAUUAUACGACCAUCAACAGCUGUCUCAGCUUCUGGGCUAAAGGAGGUAAUAGGGAGCUCAGGAUCUAGCUUCAAGGCAUCGGGUUCCUCAAAAAUUUCAAGCUUAUCUCCGGUAAAUGGACAACCGAGCAGCAAUGCACAGUCCAGCAGGUCCACAUGGAGGUUGCCGGACUUCAGUAUUCUUACAAGAAUCCAUGGUACCAUGACCAGAUGAUUCUUGACCACUUCUACUACUGAUUUUUUUUACUACCAUCUAGCUGCAUAGGUUAUUAGAAGGUAGAGUACUACUGAUUUUUUACUACCAUCUAGCUGCAUAGGUUAUUAGAAGGUAGAGUGCUCUAUAGAUGAGGAUAGAAUUUUGGUAGAUGUGUAAAUAUUUAGAACAUAAUUAGUUUUACAUAAUUGCUUGGUUUUAAGAUGAACACAAUUUGUCUAUAAGGCUUAUGGCUUUCUUCCUUA